ensembl:lncRNA
GUACGGUUCCAUUCCAAAGAACACAAGUUACCAAGAACGCCUAAAAUGCCCAGAUAUGUACUUGAUCCGCCUCUUUUAUCGAGGAUGUAUGGGUUGGUGACUUGUUCAGCGAGAACGCAUCUGAUAUCCCAGAAGUAAUCAGGAGAGCAGGAAAUACUCCACAAAUCUACCAGCUGUCGAAACGGGGUGAUGACAGCCACAGGAUGCUGCAGGCAUGGAUAUCCACACUCUCCAAGGAGGGGAACAAGAUGGCGGGCUAAGCAGAUGUGAUCUCGACUCUUCAGCAAAUUUUUAAUCUUAUGCGGAGGCUCAGGAGCCGGGGUGGCCGGCGGAGGCUCAGGAGCCGGGGGAGCCGGCGGAGGCUCAGGAGCCGGGGGAGCCGGCGGAGGCUCAGGAGCCGGGGGAGCCGGCGGAGGCUCAGGAGCCGGGGGAGCCGGCGGAGGCUCAGGAGCCGGGGGAGCCGGCGGAGGCUCAGGAGCCGGGGGAGCCGGCGAAGGUCCAGGACUUAGCGGAGGGUCAGGAGACGGGAGAGCCUGCGGAGCCGGGAGAACGGGCGGAGGGUCAGGAGCCAGGAGGGCCGGCGGAGGGCCAGGCGACGGGGGAGGCGGAGCCGGCGGAGAGUCAGAAGCCGGCGGAGAGUCAGGAACCGGGAGGGCCGGCGGAGGGCCAGGCGCCGGGGGAGGAGGAGCCGGUAGAGGGCCAGGAGUCGGCGGAGGGUCCGGUGCCGGCGGAGGGACAGGAGUCGGCGGAGGGUCAGGAGCCGGCGGAGGGUCAGGAGCCGGCGGAGGGUCAGGAGCCGGCGGAGGGACAGGAGCCGGGAGAUCCGGCUGAGGGGCGG